UACGUAGGGUGCGAGCGUUAAUCGGAAUUACUGGGCGUAAAGCGUGCGCAGGCGGCGUCGCAAGUCAGGCGUGAAAUCCCCGGGCUCAACUUGGGAAUUGCGCUUGAAACUACGGCGCUGGAGUGUGGCAGAGGGAGGUGGAAUUCCACGUGUAGCGGUGAAAUGCGUAGAUAUGUGGAGGAACACCGAUGGCGAAGGCAGCCCCCUGGGCCAGCACUGACGCUCAUGCACGAAAGCGUGGGGAGCAAACAGG
rnacentral:rRNA from 1 species